UCCUGCAUGAGUCAAGAACCUGGAGGUUGCCUGAUAUGCAAAGGGUCCCAGGCCAUGCCGGGGCAGGGCCAGCCCCUGGUGCAGAAGCAGUCCAGUAACAAUGCUAAUUGUUCCUCCAAGUUGAACAUCAGUCCCAACUUCUGAGCAGUGCCUCUCUCUUAUGCCAUCAUACACUUUUAUUCGAGCUGCAGCUGGGAGGAGAAAAUCUCCCAGCUAAAAGUCACAGUUCUGGUGUCUGGAGUCGGACUGCUCCUUUACAGAACUGAUAUCUGUACAAGGCAGUUCCCGAGAGAGAGCAUCACUGCUACAUUGUUUAUGAAAAGGUCCUCCUGGCUUCCUACCAAAGGAGCUCACACACAAAGAACAGCUGGAUGGGAAAGAGUACCGUGCUAUUAAAGCUGCCAGGACAAGAACCCGCUAUUCUAAUGCGAAGGUCUGGUAAAGGCUGAAUUGGCAGUGUAGUGCUAAAGGUAAGAAGGUGGCCAACAUUCUGAAUCUCUGAUUCCUAUACCAACACCCGCUUAUCAGCUCCCUGCUGCUGCCCCAUGUGACUCCGGAGCCCACUGUCACUAGGUAGAGCCUUGCUCUCAGACCUGGUCUUCUCGCCAGAUGAGCUGGGAGGUCACAGGAUGUGAAGAGGGACAUACUUAGCCCUCACAGCUACCUGCAGCCAUCUAGUGGCCACGAGUGGAAAUGCAUGCUGUGGAUGCAGGAGAAAAAAGGGCUCAGAUCUGCCUGUCAACCCUGUUGCGAGAAGCCUCGGCUGAAGCCUGGUAUUACUAGUCUGUUCAGAAUGAAAUGGUAUGGAACAGUGUAAUGAGCAAUAGAAAUACGGAACCAAGAAGCAAUUAUAUCUUCAAAGGAGCAAAAUGAGAGCAAA